rnacentral:rRNA from 1 species
UACGGAGGGGGCUAGCGUUGUCCGAAGUUACUGGGCGUAAAGCGCGCGUAGGCGGGUUGGUAAGUCCGCUGUGAAAGCCCGGAGCUUAACUCCGGAGGGUCGGUGGAUACUGCCAGUCUUGAAGGUGCUAGGGGGAGAUGGAAUUACCGGUGUAGCGGUGAAAUGCGUAGAUAUCAGGAAGAACACCCGUGGCGAAGGCGGCUCUCUGGGACGGUACUGACGCUGAGACGCGAAAGCGUGGGGAGCGAACAGG